UACGGAGGGUGCAAGCGUUACCCGGAAUCACUGGGCGUAAAGGGCGUGUAGGCGGGAUGUUAAGUCUGACUUUAAAAGACCAUGGCUCAACCAUGGGAGUGGGCUGGAUACUGGCAUUCUAGACAACUGGAGAGGCGAUUGGAAUUACUGGUGUAGCGGUGGAAUGCGCAGAUAUCAGGAGGAACACCGAUGGCGAAGGCAGAUCUCUGGGCCGUAACUGACGCUGAGGAGCGAAAGCAUGGGGAGCGAACAGG
rnacentral:rRNA from 1 species